CAACGUCUUCAGGUAAACCAAGAGCCAUCGUGGAGAAGGAGGCUCUGCUUGCUGUUCUCUUUUGAUUCAGAGGCAGAAAUCGGACCAAGGAGGUAACAUCAGGGAAGAUAGAAUUCAAAUUGUAGGUGGCCAGAUGCACAGCCUGGAAGGACUGACACCCGCGGCCGAACUGUAGUGGGACUGCAGCAGAACAGCAGUGCAUUUUCAACUGCAUCCAGCUUCCUAGCCAAUCCACCCAGGAGCCAAACUGAGGCCUUCUUCUCCACGGCCUAGUCACAGGUGCAACCAUAGAUGCGAGCUUAGCAAGAGGAGCCAAUGCAACAGUGAGCAUUGCAGUGGGAGAUAGCUUCUCGAACAUUCAAAGAUGGAGCCCUGAAUACCCGCUCCCUUGGAGAAGUGAUUAUGCAUGCUGGGCAGGAUCUCAUCCUUCACUGAUUCAACAGAGAUUCCCUGCCCGCCCUGCGUGGGCCAAGCACUGUGGCAGACUAGAGGGAAACGGGAAACAAGACGGAUGGGGCCCCCGUCCUCGUGGAACUUCC